rnacentral:rRNA from 1 species
CCCUUAGAUGUCCUGGGCCGCACGCGUGCUACACUGACGCAUACAGCGAGUACUCCCGGCUCCGCAAUGGCAGCUGGUAAUCAUCAAUAUGCGUCGUGAUGGGGAUAGAUCUCUGGAAUUUUUGAUCUUGAACGAGGAAUGCCUAGUAAGCGCAGGUCAUCAGCCUGCGUUGAUUAAGUCCCUGCCCUUUGUACACACCGCCCGUCGCACCUACCGAUUGGAUGGUCCGGUGAAGCCUCGGGAUUGUGGUUCUUGCCGCUUUAUUGUGGCGUGACCGCGAGAACUUGUCUAAACCUUAUCAUCUAGAGGAAGGUGAAGUCGUAACA